rnacentral:tRNA from 1 species
GGGGAUGUAGCUAAGUGACGGAGCAUGUGCCUAGCAUGCACAAGGCCCCAGAUUCAAUCCCCAGCACCUCUA